CGGUCGCUGUCCGAGUUAAAUUAUUAGCUGCACCGCGUUGUCAAUCUGUAACGUGGCAUUACUAGUACUAGUUGAUAAUGGCGGUAUCAGGACCGGGUCAACGAGUAUACUGCAGUGUUUACGGGUGCCUUAAUUCAACGGUGUCGAAACCAACACUGUCGUUUUUUAAGCUUCCUGCUGAUGCUGAAAGGCGUUCAGAGUGGCUUCGUUUGAUAUCCCGGGAAGAUUUAUCGGAGAAAAAACCUAUAUGCUACAAAGUUUGUGAAGAACAUUUCAACGAACACGAUGUUCUACCGGGCCCUUUACGAAAAAAAUUAAAAAACAAAGCGUUACCUUCUAUUAAUUUACCCGAUUUGGAGAAACAAGAUAAAGAAACUCAAACAAAAGAUGUAAAACAAACAUCAAAAUUUGUACAAACGGAAAAAUUAUUGAAUACCGUUGGGACUCAGACUCCUGCAUAUCUUUCAGCUGAUAAUCCGCGAAAAAGAAAGAUAAAAUCUGAAUUUGAUUGAUAAUAAAGAAUAUUUAUUAGAAAUAAUUAUAAAAUGUUCUAACAGCAAAUAUUUGCUUAUCUACCUAUGACUUCCUACCUAUGCCUUCCUACGUACCUGUAACCUAUGCCUACCUAUCUACCCAUAAAUAUACCUUGCCUAGAAAGACAUAGGUAUAUAUAGGUAUAGGUACAUAAAUAUACAUGCCUUCCUACCUAUACCUAUGACUUCCUUCCCACUUUUACCUAUGCCUUCCCACCUAUACCUAUGACUUCCUAUCUACCUAUGCCUAGGAAGGCAUGGGUAUAAUUAGGAACAGAAUACUUUUUUUAAUUAUUUAUAUAUCUUCAAGGCUAGAAUGAGUCUAGUAUAGUUCCAGUCACAGACGAUGGAGAACUUUAUGAAACUAUUUAUAAGAAUGAGAAUUUUUAUAUAAUAAAAUUUUUUCCCUAACUAGUUUAUAAUAGAUUUAUGUAAUAAAUAAUCAUUAGAUUAA